AGGGUUGUGUCUUAGUGGUAGAGUACUUGCCUAGCAAGUGUGAGGCCCUGGGUUCAAUUCUCAGCACCACAU
rnacentral:tRNA from 1 species